rnacentral:rRNA from 1 species
GGGGAUAAAUUAAUAAAAUAAAAUUAAUAAAAAAAUUUUUAAUAUUGGGGGAUAUUAAAGUAUUUUUUAGAGAAAAAAUAAAAAAUUUUAUAGUGAAUUAGUAUUGUAAAAUAAAUUUGAAAUAAAAUUGAAAAAAAAAUAAAAAAAAAGUAAAUUUAAUUUAUUGUAUCUUGUGUAUCAGAGUUUAUUUAAAAAUAUUUAAUAAAUAAUAAAAUCUCGAAUUUAAAAGAGUUAAUUAAUUAUAAAAGUUAAUGUUGAAUAAUUAUUUUAAAUAAUUAAUUUGAAAUGAAAUGUUAAUCGUUUUUAAAUAUAUCUAGUUUUUUUAGAAAAAAAUUUAAUUUUAAAUUUAAAAAAUUUUUUAAUUAAUUAAUUAAAUAAAAAAUUUUAAAAUUAAAUAUUUUAGGGGAUAAGCUUUAAUUUAUAUAUUUAUAAUAAAAAUAAUUUUGUUAAAAUUUUUAAAAUUUAUAUUGUUUAAAAAUUAUAGUUUAUUAAAAAAAAUUUUAUAAUAAAUAAAAUUUAAUUAUAAUAUGUUUAAUUUUUUAUAAAAAAAUAUUUUUUAAUAAAAAAAUUAUAUAAAUAAUGAUAAAAUUAGUAUAUUAUUAAUUAAAAAAUUUAAAUUUAAAUUAAAGUUAAUUUAAAGGAAUUCGGCAAAAUUUUAUAUUCACUUGUUUAUCAAAAACAUGUCUUUUAGAUAAUAAUUUAAAGUCUAAUCUGCCCACUGAUUAAGAAAAAAAUUAAAGGGCUGCAGUAUAUUGACUGUACAAAGGUAGCAUAAUCAUUAGUCUUUUAAUUGGGGACUUGUAUGAAAGAUUUGAUGAAAUAUAAACUGUCUCUAAAUUAUUAAUAAAAAUUAAUUUUUUAGUUAAAAAGCUAAAAUUUAUUUAAAAGACGAGAAGACCCUAUAGAGUUUUAUAAUAAUGAUAAUUAAAAUUAAAUAUUUAAUUAUAAAUUAAAAUUAUUAUUAUUAUUUUGUUGGGGUGAUAGAAAAAUUAAAAAAACUUUUUUUUUAUGAAUCAUAAAUAAGUGAGUUAUUGAUCCAUUAAUAAUGAUUAUAAGAAAAAAUUACCUUAGGGAUAACAGCGUAAUUUUUUUUUUUAGUACAAAUAAAAAAAAAAGGUUGCGACCUCGAUGUUGGAUUAAGAUAAAAAUUAAAUGCAAAAGUUUAAAAUUUUGAUCUGUUCGAUCAUUAAAAUCUUACAUGAUCUGAGUUCAAACCGGUGUAAGCCAGGUUGGUUUCUAUCUUUAGAAAAUUAAAAUAUUUUA